UAGGCGACCGGGUGAGUAACACGUGACUAACCUACCCUCGAGUGGGGAAUAACUCCGGGAAACCGGGGCUAAUACCGCAUAACAUCUUCGGAACGCGAGUUCUGUUGAUCAAAGGAGCAAUUCGCUUGAGGAGGGAGUCGCGGCUGAUUAGCUAGUUGGCGGGGUAAUGGCCCACCAAGGCUUAGAUCGGUAGCCGGCCUGAGAGGGCGCACGGCCACACUGGAACUGAAACACGGUCCAG
rnacentral:rRNA from 1 species